UCCUACGGGCGGCUGCAGUGGGGAAUUUUGGACAAUGGGGGCAACCCUGAUCCAGCCAUUCCGCGUGAGUGAAGAAGGCCUUCGGGUUGUAAAGCUCUUUCGGCAGGAACGAAACGGUGGGGGCUAAUAUCCCCUGCUAAUGACGGUACCUGAAGAAGAAGCACCGGCUAACUACGUGCCAGCAGCCGCGGUAAUACGUAGGGUGCGAGCGUUAAUCGGAAUUACUGGGCGUAAAGCGUGCGCAGGCGGUUUUGUAAGACAGCUGUGAAAUCCCCGGGCUUAACCUGGGAACUGCGGUUGUGACUGCAAGACUGGAGUGCGGCAGAGGGGGGUGGAAUUCCACGUGUAGCAGUGAAAUGCGUAGAGAUGUGGAGGAACACCGAUGGCGAAGGCAGCCCCCUGGGUCGACACUGACGCUCAUGCACGAAAGCGUGGGGAGCAAACAGGAUUAGAUACCCUGGUAGUCGGU
rnacentral:rRNA from 1 species